UGCAGAGGGGGCAAGCGUUGUUCGGAAUUACUGGGCGUAAAGGGCGCGUAGGCGGCCUGCUAAGUCGAACGUGAAAUCCCCGGGCUCAACCCGGGAACUGCGUCCGAGACUGGCGGGCUUGAAUCCGGGAGAGGGAUGCGGAAUUCCAGGUGUAGCGGUGAAAUGCGUAGAUAUCUGGAGGAACACCGGUGGCGAAGGCGGCAUCCUGGACCGGCAUUGACGCUGAGGCGCGAAAGCUAGGGGAGCAAACGGG
rnacentral:rRNA from 1 species